rnacentral:rRNA from 1 species
GACGAACGCUGGCGGCGUGCUUAACACACGCAAGUCGAACGGAAAGGCCCUGCUUUUGUGGGGUGCUCGAGUGGCGAACGGGUGAGUAACACGUGAGUAACCUGCCCUUGACUUUGGGAUAACUUCAGGAAACUGGGGCUAAUACCGGAUAGGAGCUCCUGCUGCAUGGUGGGGGUUGGAAAGUUUCGGCGGUUGGGGAUGGACUCGCGGCUUAUCAGCUUGUUGGUGGGGUAGUGGCUUACCAAGGCUUUGACGGGUAGCCGGCCUGAGAGGGUGACCGGCCACAUUGGGACUGGGAUACGGCCCAGACUCCUACGGGAGGCAGCAGUGGGGAAUAUUGCACAAUGGGCGGAAGCCUGAUGCAGCAACGCCGCGUGCGGGAUGACGGCCUUCGGGUUGUAAACCGCUUUCGCCUGUGACGAAGCGUGAGUGACGGUAAUGGGUAAAGAAGCACCGGCUAACUACGU